rnacentral:lncRNA from 10 species
UUGACUUGUUUCUGUAAAUUUUGCAAUUGUAUUAUAGAACACAGCGUCCUAGCUAAGGUAUAUCAGUUGCCAGGGUUUGUCAUCAUUUAGUUAUGUUUUAUUCAUAGAUUUUUGAAAGUCAAGUGAGAAAAAUUCAGUCAAUACUUCCAACAUUUAAGAAAGUGUAAGUCCUUUUUGAUUUAUUGUUUUAUUUCUAAAAGUAAUAAAUAUCAAUAGAAGGAAAUUAAUCCAUUACUGUUUUGAGGCUGCAUGGUGCUAUUUUUCUGACAUUUGGCUUAAUUUGGAUACCUCUUUCUGCUUCCAGGUACCAUUCAUUGUAUUUUCCAUGCAACUGGGCACCACUACACUUGGAAGAAAGUUACCACAACUGUACACAACAUUAUUGUGGGCAAGUUGUGGAUAGAUCAGUCUGGCGAAAUUGAUAUUGUGAAUCACAAGACAGGAGACAAGUGUAAUCUUAAAUUUGUUCCUUAUAGCUACUUCUCUCGGGAUGUAGCAAGAAAGGUAAGGGAAGUUGAAAUUUAAAUUGUUUCACGUAGCAUGUAUCUCUUAGAAAGCAUACUCCUUUAGGACUGGAAUGUAUAUACAUGUGGGGUGGUAUGGGGGUGUGUACAUUUUAUAUAGUGUAUGUGUACAUAUAGUGAUUCAAAAAAAGUAGAGGUGAAAGGCUGGGCGCGGUGGCUCACAGCUGUAAUCCCAGCACUUUGGGAGGCUGAGGCAGAUGGAUCGCCUGAGGUCAGGAGUUCGAGCCCAGCCUGGCCAACAUGAUGAAACCCUGUCUCUACUAAAAAUGC